rnacentral:rRNA from 1 species
CACGUAGGGCGCAAGCGUUGUCCGGAAUUAUUGGGCGUAAAGAGCUCGUAGGCGGUCUGUUGCGUCCGCUGUGAAAACUCGGGGCUUAACCCCGAGCCUGCAGUGGAUACGGGCAGACUAGAGGUAGGUAGGGGAGAAUGGAAUUCCCGGUGUAGCGGUGAAAUGCGCAGAUAUCGGGAGGAACACCAAUGGCGAAGGCAGCUCGCUGGGACGUGACUGACGCUGAGACGCGAAAGCGUGGGGAGCAAACAGG